GAUGAACGCUGGCGGCGUGCUUAACACAUGCAAGUCGAACGAGAAGUGAAGACGGAAACCUUCGGGCGGAAGGCUUUAUUUCGAGUGGCGGCCGGGUGAGUAACGCGUGGGUAACCUGCCUCAUACAGGGGGAUAACAGUUGGAAACGACUGAUAAUACCGCAUAAGACGACACCACCGCAUGAUGCGGGGUUAAAAACUCCGGUGGAUUGAGCGGGACCGGCUUUGGUUUAGCCAGUUGGCGGGGUAACGGCCCACCACAGCGACGAUCGAUAGCCGAACUGAGAGGAUGGCCGGCCACAUUGGGACUGAGACACAGCCCAAACUCCUACGCGAGGCAGCAGUGGGGAAUAUUGCACAAUGGGGGAAACCCUGAUGCAGCGACGCCGCGUGAGUGAAGAAGUAUGUCGGUAUGUAAAGCGCUAUCAACAGGGAAGAAAAUGACGGUACCUGAGCAAGAAGCCCCGGCUAACUACGUG
rnacentral:rRNA from 1 species